rnacentral:rRNA from 1 species
AAGCUUGCUUUCUUGCUGACGAGCGGCGGACGGGUGAGUAAUGUAUGGGGAUCUGCCCGAUAGAGGGGGAUAACUACUGGAAACGGUGGCUAAUACCGCAUAAUGUCUACGGACCAAAGCAGGGGCUCUUCGGACCUUGCACUAUCGGAUGAACCCAUAUGGGAUUAGCUAGUAGGUGGGGUAAAGGCUCACCUAGGCGACGAUCUCUAGCUGGUCUGAGAGGAUGAUCAGCCACACUGGGACUGAGACACGGCCCAGACUCCUACGGGAGGCAGCAGUGGGGAAUAUUGCACAAUGGGCGCAAGCCUGAUGCAGCCAUGCCGCGUGUAUGAAGAAGGCCUUAGGGUUGUAAAGUACUUUCAGCGGGGAGGAAGGUGAUAAGGUUAAUACCCUU